rnacentral:rRNA from 1 species
GACGAACGCUGGCGGCGUGCUUAACACAUGCAAGUCGAACGAAGAGCGAUGGACGCUUGCUUCUAUCAAUCUUAGUGGCGAACGGGUGAGUAACGCGUAAUCAACCUGCCCUUCAGAGGGGGACAACAGUUGGAAACGACUGCUAAUACCGCAUACGAUCUAAUCUCGGCAUCGAGGAUAGAUGAAAGGUGGCCCCUACAUGUAAGCUAUCACUGAAGGAGGGGAUUGCGUCUGAUUAGCUAGUUGGAGGGGUAACGGCCCACCAAGGCGAUGAUCAGUAGCCGGUCUGAGAGGAUGAACGGCCACAUUGGGACUGAGACACGGCCCAGACUCCUACGGGAGGCAGCAGUGGGGAAUCUUCUGCAAUGGACGAAAGUCUGACGGAGCAACGCCGCGUGAGUGAUGACGGCCUUCGGGUUGUAAAGCUCUGUUAAUCGGGACGAAAGGCCUUCUUGCGAAUAGUGAGAAGGAUUGACGGUACCGGAAUAGAAAGCCACGGCUAACUACGU